CCUACGGGUGGCAGCAGUGAGGAAUAUUGGUCAAUGGACGCAAGUCUGAACCAGCCAUGCCGCGUGCAGGAAGACGGCUCUAUGAGUUGUAAACUGCUUUUGUACGGGCGUAAAACUCGAUACGUGUACCUGUUUGAAAGUAUCUUACGAAUAAGGAUCGGCUAACUCCGUGCCAGCAGCCGCGGUAAUACGGAGGAUUCGAGCGUUAUCCGGCUUUAUUGGGUUUAAAGGGUGAGUAGGCGGUUCGAUAAGUUAGCGGUGAAAUCCCGGGGCUCAACUGCAGAACUGCAUUUGAUACUGUCAGGCUAGAGUAUAGUUGCGGUAGGCGGAAGGUAUGGUGUAGCGGUGAAAUGCAGAGAGAUCAUACAGAACCCCGAUUGCGAAGGCAGCUUACCAAACUACGACUGACAUUGAGGCACGAAAGCGUGGGGAGCAAACAGGAUUAGAUACCCGGGUAGUC
rnacentral:rRNA from 1 species